CAAGCUGUUUUGUUUUAAAUGUGUUAUUGUGUUAGUAAUAAAUUAUUGCUAAUAAUUGUUAUAUGGCAGCCUCAAACUCGGCUGCUCCCCAAACUUCGUUUACGGGCAACUUAACCUUCACUAUUGAAGAAAGUGACGUCAGAAUUAAUUUCUUCAAAGACGCGGCUGAAGUUGUUGAGGUUCGUUUUGCAAUAAGGGAUGAUCGAUUUGCAGGCUAAGUGCAUGUUGACUUUGUUACUCGUGAGGCUGCCCAAGAGGCUCUUGAAGUUAAUGGUGAACCAUUGCUUGACCAUCCACUAAAACUUGAUUUAGUUAAGUAAAAAGUAAAUACACUCUCGGUACCAGGUAUGAUUCUUUGCCAUCAAGUGUUUUAACACCCAGUUAGAUUCUAACCGACAUUUGACUGAGAAUUCAUAUUUGUUUCUGGAGCAAUGAGAGAUCUUUCCAAAAGAGUGCGCAGACUUCAGCACUAACUGCGUUUAUAAGUGGAAUACUCUUGGGAAACUCUUUGGCCAAUGUGAAGAGGUUUCAAGGAUUUUUCUUCCUAAAGAUUUUGAGUCACGUGAGACAAAAAGAUACGGCAUGAGAGUUAGCUGUUGGUUACAAGUUUACUCCCCACCAUGACAACAGCAAGGGGCAUGAGAAUUAGCCGUUGGUUGCAAGUUUACUCCUCACCGUGACAACAAGGUGGCCAGUUACAAAUUUGCAGCAUUUAAAUGCAGUGAGUGUAUGGACUUGAUGAAAACAACCUAGAAAUAGUUUU